CAGAAGUUAAAAUUCUUAUUUCUUUCCCACUACAGCGUGUCAUAUGUAGUUUAAAACCAUUGAAAGUACAUAAAUACCCUUAUAUCAAUUCCACCAACAAAGACUGUAUUUGGCAUGAUUUUUCCUUCUGGUAAAACAUAUCCUUGGCAGGUUGUUGACGAAUGGGUAUUAUCCUCUGAGAUAGUUCCACACUGGGCUUCCGCAUUUGCAGACUGAAAAGGUUAAACAGAAAUAUUUCAGUCACAUUGUAAUACACUACUAGGUAGGCCUCCAUCUUCCUAUUGAUACAGUUUGAGACCAUAAGUAUCAAUAGCAUCUUUCCAAUUACUUAAAGGAAGUACUUACUGCAAAUGGAACACUCAAAUGGACAAGUUUGAACCUACUCUUCUUUGAGAUCAAGACUCAAGCUAGGCUACACUAAGCAGCCUUGCCUGACUGGAAGCUUCACAACCAUUGUUGCUACUACCCAACUUACAAUGAGAACCCCGAAAUUAUUCAUCUCAAAUUUUUACACAAUUCCUUUUAGAUGCAAGCAAGAAAUUCUUAAGUUCUACGCUGUGAAUUGAUUAUCCAAUGAAUGAACUCCAUUUUCCUGAUCAAAAGCCUGUAAUGCUCAAGAAGUGAGUAAAGCUUAUGAAAUUCCUUGGAACAAUGGUACAGUUAUACUACAAUUUAGCUGUAAGGUAGAUGACACCGUCUUGGUAGAAUAUUCACUUUAUGUGCACCUCAGAAAAAAAGUUUUAGUCAAUUUAACUACAAGAGAAAUAUGAACGACUGAUCUUGUCACUGAGUGGCACACACCGAAGCAGGAUCUUAAGAGUGCACUGCACAUAUCUACAUGGUGUAAUGGAAUAACUACAGCGGUGAUGUGCUUCGCACACCCACAUUCCACGUGCACCCUUUAAACUUGAACGUAACUCACAGCCUCAAAGUUUCUCACUCAGUUCAGGUCAGAGGAAAGUGGAUUCUGGAUUACUGUUUAUUUAGGGAAUCAUUUGUUCACAGAGAUCACACACAAUUUCAUUUCUUGUUGCUGAUGACACCAAGACGUGUUCCGUACUCUAAAACACACUUCAAACAUUACACAAAGAUAUUUGCAAGAACUGAAAUACACCUCAGAUGGAUGAAACUUUGGUUCCACAUCUUCUCAACUGAAUGAAUGGUUCUAUGUACAUGUCAUUCUUUAUCUGGCUUGUAAAAAAAACAACUACUUUGACCACCUUAUUUGUGCUCAUUUGUCUGUAUUAAGACAUCUCAAAACAUUAAUAACCUUUUCCUUGCAGCUCACCUGGUGUAGCAUUAUCCCUAUUUCAGAUAGGCAGAUCUUUUGAUUUAGUUGAUGUUACUGAUACUUUGAAACCUAAGAAUAAUUUACAUUGAAAAAUGGGCUCUAGUGAUUGUAACAAAUUAGACAUUUAACACAGAAUUAUUUAAACUGCACCUGCAAGUGAUCAAUGUUCAUUCAAAUUGGACAUCCGACAAGGGACUAAGAAAAUUACAAGAACCAAACUGUCCAUGUGGCCUGAUUCAACCAGCAAUUAAGUAACGCCAGAACUAGAACUCAGCUUUCCACAUGUGUGAUUUCAACAUGAGUGAACCAAAUUAACACCAGACUACCCCUAAAAAGCAGAGACAGUUUGCUCCAUCUCUUCUCUUACACCUCCUCUGCAGAAGAUCCAACAGCUGUCAGUUCACAUUUAGUUUUUGAGGAAGAACAGCAUCAAGAGAGCAAGUUUUGACCAGAUUAGUAUUCUGUUAUUUUAGACAAUAGAAUCAGCUUACUGUGCUAUCAGAUAAGCAUCAGAUACACCUCAGAUUAAGUUUCAUCUCCAUCAGAAAUGGAGAUGGAAAAGACCUAGUCUGAGAAGCACAGUUCAACAGCAUCUAAUGAAGCUAGACCUUGAAGUACCUGGCUCCAUCACAUCCAGUACCAUGUUCUUGUAUAUAAUUCUGUUUACUUCAUCAAUUAUAUGCUACCAACUGCAAAUUGUAUCACAGAUUACUUCUGUUGUACGCAGAUAGAGAAUACUCUUCUCCCUUCCUUCCUAUUGUAUCAGGACAGCUCUUCACACCACUGCAAAGGGAAUAAGGCCCAACAUUUUACAGGAGAAAAUGGGUUGUAGUUUUCCAACACAACUGCCUCUGAUCCAAGCUCAUUCCACAGUUGUGUAAACACUUCUAGCAUGAGAACACAUCACAGCAAGAAGGAAACAAGAGGAGAGCUGGAGACCACUUAUUUGACCAUAUCCCCAGAAAAAGAACAUUUUAACUCAAAUAUGAGACCAACUCCACAGCAACCUUGAGCUGACCUGUUAGCAUCUACUGUUCCCUCUUUUUGGACCUGUUUCAGUGACCGAAGCUCAAAGAAAGCAUUCACUUGGCUGUGCAAAUCCUCUGGCAACUUUCAACAGGAAGCAGCUCACAGCAAAUGCACCCAGGAGAGCCAGAAUCAGCACAAGAAAGUGGGUCGGCAUACAGAUACUGCUGACAUGCAGGUAAGAAACGGCCUUGGCUGCCAUAGAAGCACAUCAUUAGUUUCUCGCAAUAAUGAUGCAGAAUAAAACUUUCAAAGAAAAUACAGUUCUUACACAGUUCUUUAACCCUUCUGCAUGUUAAAUAUCUAAAGGGGCAAGUAAGUUCUUUAAGCAGUGUGACAAACUUUUCAACAUCAAAAAUAAGCUUUUAGAUGCAUUAACAUGCUUAUUUCUCAGAACAUAAAAAGGAGCUACUGGUGAACAUGAUGAAAAAGUAUUACAGUAUGAAGACAUGAAACAAUGUCUUUCUCCUUUCGAAGUUAUUUUUGAAGCCUUCAGUACUACAACAGAAAACAUGUCAAUUCAAGCAACGCAUCACCCUUAUUUUAUCAGCACAAAAUGUCAUUGUUAUUUUACUACCCAAUGCAGCCUUACUUCUGUGCAUACUACGGGCAAACUGCACUGCUGCUGAAUCAGUAGCCAAAGCCUGCUCCAUUUCCAAUUCCCAAAACUGUAAACAACACUUAAAUGGAUGAAUUACGUAACAUGAAGCUCAAGCAUCAGCUGAAUCAUAGAACAUUCCGAGCUGGAGAGGACCCAUAAGGAUCACUGAGUCCAACUAAAGGGACCAGACCAUUCAAAACUGCCUUAAGCAAAGCUUCUCUGUCUGUCUCUGCAGCUCACAAAGUAACUUUGAAAACCAAUUUCUAGGUGUUAAGAGACUCACAGCUUAUUCAGUUUUUCAACCUGCUGAAUUUCUUUCCCCCUAGCCCUUUUUCCUUUAUCACAAGGUAAAUCAAGUAAUUUACUCUCUGCAUUGUUUCACAAAGCAUCGACUUCAAGGCAGGAAAAUAGAAUAACCCCUUAAUUACAACAGGGGGUGGUAAACAAAAGAGGUGGAACUGCCUGAGUGAUGUCUGCAACUCUGUCUAGGGGAGGAAAACCUUCACUUUUUCCUUCGGCCACACAAGCACUGCUUCCUGAUGUCUCAGACUGCUUCCUCCGUGAACUCACACGGGGUUCAUUUAAAAUAAGGGGCAUUCUGCGCCGUAUUCACGCCCGCUACCCGCCUUCCCGACGAGCACUCGGUUGCCAUGGCAGCCGCUGCGGAAGGAGAAGAUGGCGGCGGCUCCGCGGCGUUGCGCCCGCCCGGAGGCGGCAGGGGGAGCCAUACAGCAGCGCUGCUCGACUCCACUACCCGGUCCUGCCUGGAAGUUGCUGAGGUGUCAGCGUUAGAAUAGCAGAUACCGUGCGUAAAAAAAACCCGAAAAUAAAGAAUUUCUUGAGAAACAGUACUGUGUGCAACCAGUUUAGUUUCAGCUGCCGGCUCGUGUACCAGAGCACAGUCACCUCGACAGGAACGCUUUACCGCUCCCUUCCCUGCACACGUUUAGCACCAACCAGAACUGUACCCGCACCCAGCGACGCGAGGCUUCGCCCCAACGGGGACCACAUUACGCAGAAAACUCUCGAAGACGAAGGUCUCUUUGCAUGGAAGGGGCACGCGCGGGGCCGGACAGCAUCCCCGCUGACCACAGCUGGGGGCCCGCGGAGCGCUGCCGGAAACCGCCUGGUGGGGCCGGAGCUCCCGAGGUGAUAACGGUCCGCUCGGGCGGCUCAACAGCUCGGCGCCGGGAAACGGGUCACGGGCCUGGACGGGCUUAGGAAAAGGGAAAGGGGAGGGAGUGCCAAAAGGCUGAGAAUAGACGGAGCUGAUGGAGAGCCCGCGGUCGCAGGGCAAGGCGUCACGCCGGGCUCCAGCGCCGAGCGGGUGCAACUGCCACCUCGGGGCACCGACCGGAGGCGGCGGAGUAGAAGGGCCGUGACUGUGCCCGGAGUCACAAAAUGGCCGCUCGCGGCACGACGCGUCUCCUGCCUCGAAGUCCUCCUGACACCACGCCUCUGACCACAACACCAACUCAUGUCUCAGCCUUCUUUUCUUAUCAUUUUCUCGCAGUAUCACUGAAAUUCAUACCGUACACGUAAGAUUCUAGAACCUAUUGUAAAAGGGAGUAAUUCUCAAGAGUCUCCGCAAGGCGCUGUGAGGCGGCAGCGCCGCAGCUGCGGGACUCCCGCAGCUUCAGGAGGCCCCGCCAACUGCCCGCCGGCCCGGCGCACCUCACACCCUGCUCUCCACCCGCCCGACCACCGCUCCGCUCCCCCGUUGUCCCCGGUCCCGACUUACCAUCGUUCCCCGGAGCUGUGACAGCGCCCGCACACUUAAAAACAAACGAGGCCUUCAAGACAAAAACAAUUGGAGUGUUGGGAAAACAGACACUAAAGAACCCCACUUUUUUGUGAUCACAGUACCAUAUGAUGAUGAGUCAUCUGAACAAAAGCCAACAUUGUUACUUUUCAACCACUCAAGACUGUUUGAAUCAAAGGAAACAUAGAACAGGAGUGGCAAGUACUGAUAGCCGGCUAUAUAUCAGUCUCGGAAAAGUAUUGCCAGUCUAGACAUAUGUUAUACAAAACAUACUAGGUGGUUUCAUUAUUAUGUUAUCAGCAAUGCUAAUCUUGUGGCCUAACCUCCUCUGAGACCCUUCCUGGAAAACUUCUGUAUGGGAAUUUUCUUCUUGUUGUUGUCCCCUUCCAUUUCAACGCUGUGAGGCAUAUCACUCCGUCCUUUGUGUCAGGACAAAGCCAAGGUGAUAUGCCUGAUGACAUACUGUGCCAGGGUAUAGACUUGCAUAGAAGCUCCUUUGUUGCACAAAACAGAGGAAAACAGAGAAGUUCUAGUCCUGUGUGCCAUCUUCUGUUGUAAUCUUUAUCGUGCAGUUACCGUGGACUAUGAAACAAACAGUCUUGGCUUUGAAAUAAGAUUAGAUUGUUUAUAGUUGUGUCUGUCCUCUCACAUCGCAUCUCUUGAAACUUAGAAGCCAUCUUCAGAAACGUAUAUUUUCACUAUGGUGUAUUUCCUUACUUUUUUCUUUUUU
rnacentral:lncRNA from 1 species